rnacentral:lncRNA from 1 species
CAGCCUUGCAGGUCUGGCCAUAAAGCUCAGGGGUGAUUGAGUUCGCACUGAGAAACAACUCUGAGGGUUAACUCUCAGUUUCUUAGUAGUUGGAGAAAGAAGUGUGUCACUGCCGAAGGCUCUGGGAAUGUGUCUGAAGCUGUGCUUAAAGAGGCUGUGUGAAAGGAGAGAUAUAAGAAGAUCAAAGUGAGCCUUCAAGAGUCAGAAUCUGCCCAGAACUGGACAACUUCUGAUAGCAGUGGAGGGAGCAGCUAGAGGUGGCGUUUGUGUACUAUGGUCAAAGAAUGCUGCCCUCAUUUGUUAAGGAAAAAAAGAAAAAGAAAAAACUACCAGAGAGUAAAACAACUCAUAAAACUGUCAUGAAUAAUUCCAGCAGCUGGGCUGAAAUGGAAGGCUGCUCAAAGUACCUCUGGUUCUCCGUGACAAAGGCACCAGGAUCUUCAUGAGCUAUGGAAGGCCGCAAGAUCUGGCCGAGACGGUCCGACAGGAAUGAGAGUUCUCAGACCUGCACAGAACCUGUGACCAACUUACUCUCAGCCAACAGUUGCAUUGUGGGAACUCUUUGAAAUUGAGGGGAAAAUCCCCUAAUUAAAAGGUUCCUAAUCUCAGUUUCUGCUUAGGAAUUCCUUCUGGCACAUAUUAAACACACAGAUUUCUGGACUUCAACUUCAGAGAUCCUAAUGCCAGGAUCAUCAGUGGAGCCCAAGAGUCUACAUUUAAGAAGCUGUCUAGAAUGGACAAUUAGUCAGCUAUAUAAAUAAAAGAAAAUACUAGUGUAAGAAACAACAUGGAUGACAUCUCAACAACAAUAUUCUGAGCAAAAUAAGCCAAACACAAAAUAGUGCACAUGGUAUGAUUAUAUAUAUGAAUGCGUAUCUAUAUAUAUCUACAUAUAUAUAUAUAUAUAUGAGGUUCUAGAAUGAACACUUCAUCUAUAGUGAUAGAAAUCAGGUUGAUGGUUGCAUAGGGCAGGGGGUUAGGUGGACUGACUGCAAAGCGUCAUGAGGGAACUUUCCAGUACGAUGGUAAUGAUCUAUGUUUUUAUUGGAGUGGUGGUUACAUGGGUGUAUACAUUUGUCAAAGUUCAUCUGACUGUACACUUCACGUUGCAUACACUUAACUGUGUAUAAAUUGUG